GAUGAACGCUGGCGGCGUGCCUAAUACAUGCAAGUCGAGCGAACGGACGAGAAGCUUGCUUCUCUGAUGUUAGCGGCGGACGGGUGAGUAACACGUGGAUAACCUACCUAUAAGACUGGGAUAACUUCGGGAAACCGGAGCUAAUACCGGAUGAUAUUUUGAACCGCAUGGUUCAAAAGUGAAAGACGGUCUUGCUGUCACUUAUAGAUGGAUCCGCGCUGCAUUAGCUAGUUGGUAAGGUAACGGCUUACCAAGGCAACGAUGCAUAGCCGACCUGAGAGGGUGAUCGGCCACACGGGAACUGAGACACGGUCCAGACUCCUACGGGAGGCAGCAGUAGGGAAUCUUCCGCAAUGGGCGAAAGCCUGACGGAGCAACGCCGCGUGAGUGAUGAAGGUCUUCGGAUCGUAAAACUCUGUUAUUAGGGAAGAACAUAUGUGUAAGUAACUGUGCACAUCUUGGCGGUACCUAAUCAGAAAGCCACGGCUAACUACGUG
rnacentral:rRNA from 1 species